rnacentral:rRNA from 1 species
AUUGAACGCUGGCGGCAUGCUUUACACAUGCAAGUCGAACGGCAGCGAGGAGAAGCUUGCUUCUCUGUCGGCGAGUGGCGAACGGGUGAGUAUAGCAUCGGAACGUGCCAAGUAGUGGGGGAUAACCAAACGAAAGUUUGGCUAAUACCGCGUAAGCUCCAAGGAGGAAAGUAGGGGACCUAAAUAAGGCCUUACGCUAUUUGAUCGGCCGAUGUCGGAUUAGUUAGUUGGUGGGGUAAUGGCUCACCAAGGCAAUGAUCCGUAGCGGGUCUGAGAGGACGAUCCGCCACACUGGGACUGAGACACGGCCCAG